CCAUCGGCCCUUUUCAGGGCCACCAAUAUUUUCAAACGUAAAACA
rfam:Trichomalopsis sarcophagae strain Alberta scaffold418, whole genome shotgun sequence.